UAAAGCAAUGCUAACUUCCGUUAUCGAG
rnacentral:sRNA from 1 species